rnacentral:rRNA from 1 species
AGAUUGAACGCUGGCGGCAUGCCUAACACAUGCAAGUCGAACGGGAGUAGCAAUACUCUAGUGGCGGACGGGUGAGGAAUACGUAGGAAUUUGCCCUUAAGUGGGGGAUAACCCGGGGAAACCCGGAUUAAUACCGCAUGACCUCGAAAGAGCAAAGUGGGGGAUCGCAAGACCUCACGCUUUUGGAGAAGCCUACGUCGGAUUAGCUAGUUGGUGAGGUAAUGGCUCACCAAGGCGACGAUCCGUAACUGGUCUGAGAGGAUGAUCAGUCACACCGGAACUGAGACACGGUCCGGACUCCGUACGGGAGCAGCAGUGGGGAAUAUUGGACAAGU